rnacentral:rRNA from 1 species
AUUGAACGCUGGCGGCAGGCCUAACACAUGCAAGUCGAGCGGAUGAAGGGAGCUUGCUCCUGGCUUCAGCGGCGGACGGGUGAGUAAUUCCUAGGAAUCUGCCUGGUAGUGGGGGCUAACGUCCGGAAACGGGCGCUAAUACCGCAUACGUCCUGAGGGUGAAAGGGGGGGAUCUUCGGACCUCACGCUAUCAGAUGUGCCUAGGUCGGAUUAGCUAGUUGGUUGGGUAAAGGCCUACCAAGGCGACGAUCCGUAACUGGUCUGAGAGGAUGAUCAGUCACACUGGAACUGAGACACGGUCCAGACUCCUACGGGAGGCAGCAGUGGGGAAUAUUGGACAAUGGGCGAAAGCCUGAUCCAGCCAUGCCGCGUGUGUGAAGAAGGUCUUCGGAUUGUAAAGCACUUUAAGUUGGGAGGAAGGGCAGUAAGUUAAUACCUUGCUGUUUUGACGUUACCAACAGAAUAAGCACCGGCUAACUUCGUG